CGGAUCGUAGGCUGCAACUCGCCUACGUGAAGUCGGAAUCGCUAGUAAUCGCAGGUCAGCAUACUGCGGUGAAUACGUUCCCGGGCCUUGUACACACCGCCCGUCACACCACGAAAGUCGGAAGUACCCAAAGCCGGUGGGGUAACCUUCGGGAGCCAGCCGUCUAAGGUAAAGUCGAUGAUUGGGGUGAAGUCGUAACAAGGUAGCCGUAUCGGAAGGUGCGGCUGGAUCACCUCCUUU
rnacentral:ncRNA from 1 species